ensembl:lncRNA
GUGAGUGACUGGACUCAAUAUAUAGUUCGAUAACAAUUAGACAUAACGAGCUUGAAGUUACGUGUCGAUGUCGAAAGGUGUUCUUAUGCUAAGAAAAAAUAAGUUAGCACGAGCGCUAAGCUAACAUUAGCUAACGUUACCUGCUUAGCUUCGUCAUUGUGUUACACACACUGUAACAUCGCGUUAAGCUAAAUAGCAAAAUGCUGGUCACAUUCAUGAAAACUGGUUAGUUCAAAUCUGAAAAGCAGUCAGCAGCUAGCUUACUGAACUGCUUAUUUUUUCUUUUUUAAAAGAAAUAUAUAACGUCAUGUUUCUAAUAUCGAUUUUCUAAUGUAAUACUCAAUACAAAGGGAAUAUGUAUGGCUGUUAUACUAUGUAUUACUCUUUUGGAUGUGUUAUUUUUACUGUGUUAUAAUUAUGUCAUAGAGUGCUUGAUAUUCCAUAUAUAGCUCAGUACAAACGUAACUUGACCAGGUACGAUGCGCUGUGGGUGACUCCAAGGUAACAUGACGUCACUUUGCUUUCCCAAUAUGCCUCCUUGUAACAAUUAAUAUAACCUAGUACAGAGAGGACCUCUUUCAAAGAGCACAUUUAGACUCGCCGCAGAAGGAAAAGCACAUUAUGAAUUCAUGGCGCUGAGCUUUGCUUUCAGCUGUGGAGCCUCUUGCUCUUGGUCACGCUCACACGGCUUACUGGGAGAGUUUAGUAAAACAGUAUGAGUUGUGAUUACAGGUUAAGAUGUCUGAUGUGAAUGGGGAUUGUUCUUUGAAACAAAGCUGGCAUUGUCAGAAACACGCACAGUAAUUCAUUUGUUUUACAUUUGGUUGUUAAUGUAGGAAGGCAACAUAAGCCAUCUGUAUUCUGUAUCGUGAUUCAGCAUCAUGCUGCGUAUCAGUCUGUUCUGCUAUUGGAAACGCACCUGCUGAAUAUUACGGUGUUGUGGUAUGCUGUGCGAUUACGCCCAGAUGAGUGUCUAUAGCUCCUACACAACAGAAUAAAUGGGCUAUUAUGGUAAUGCCGUAAGCAAUAUGAAUUAUAGCACAGGAGGUACAAAAGACAAUCUCUGACUAUUUCCCAUCACUUGGUUGAAUUCAUUUUCAAAGCCUUUCUUAAUUUGAAAUAGAUUACCUUAAAAAUGUUAUCUACCAAAAUAAUAUAAUGCAAUACGAACCUCCUUGGCAUGAUAUCAUUGUUGUAAUAGAGUAACACCUGUCAUUGUUCUCACUCAAAUUGUUUUUAUUCUCAGGUAUUUUAGAUGAGAGAAAAUGGAUACAAUCACACAAGAAGAUUACAGUCCAAACACUGAGAGUGAGCUUACUUCACCAUUUCCCCCCAAACGGCCGAGGACAGACUGUACACACAACAACGGUGGCAAAAGCAGUUUUGCAUUUCCGGAACUUGUGACGUUUUGGAAAACCGUCGGCUCCUCAUCAUCGACAAGUACCUGGCAGGAAAAUGCAGGUUUACUACGCGCAGCAGAAGGUGGUGAUAUGGAAGAGCAACUACAAGACGCUCCAUUUAUUGUCAUUCCUAUUGCGAGCUUGACUACGUCACACACUGGAUCGUCUGACGUCAGCUCAAUCUCUGCAGAGAGAUGCUUCAAACUUCUGGUGAGAGAUGAGCAGCCUCCAAUCCCUCCAACCGACAAACUCAGCUCCACCGUGCCAGAUGAUGAAGAUCGGGCUGUAGCAGAGACCUGCACUUCGAAAGAAGGCAACGCUGAUACGUCCAGUCAGCCUGAUAGCAAACUGCUGGGGGAAGCGUGUGAAGACGAGGCGCUUGGAAAUAACAGCGCUGGAGCACUGGUGCAGAAUAGUGCCAGUCAAAUCCAAGCAUUGCAGGUCAGUUCAAGCGACUAUGGGCUCAGAUAUCAGUCUGGUUGCACUUCUGAAAAUGAAAGUAAUCAGGAGUGGCAAGAGCCUGGAUUCACAGAGACUAUCGUAUUCAGCGAGGAAGAUACAGUCUUAUAUCUUUCACUGAUUCUUUCUACUCAAACCCACAACGCUCAGGGAACUUAGCACAGAUUUGUGAAAAUAUUGCUAUAUGUAAGCAGGAAACAGAAGACCAAGUCAAUGAGAAUUGCACGAGCAUGAACUCCCCAUGAACCAGAAGGAUCAAUUGUUUCUUAUGAUGUUGUUUCACUCAGAAACAUUCCAAUUGAGAGGUUGAGUCUUGAUGCUGAUGACUUCUGUGGGGAAAAAGGAGAAGAGGCUGGUGCUAAGAUGAUAGCCCGAGCUCAGAGCAAAACGUCUGAUCACACGACAGGGACUCCCGUGCCUGCACAAAUCUGUCAAGGGCCUGCUGAAGGAGAUAAUGAUGCAAGUCCUUUCGCUGUAAUUGAACCUGCAAUCUGGAGUGAAACUGACAGGGAGGAAGAGAAGAGCUGCAACUCAGGGAGCGCUGCCGCCGGUGUACAAUCACUUCCAUCAGUAAAAGUCUGCACCAUGGAAACCCCUCUCCCCCUCUGCGCCCACGUCCGGCUAUCAAAGGAGGUUUUAACCCUCAACCAGAAUGGAAAGUCAGAUCACCAAAGCCUUACGCAGCAGCGCGAAGAUGGAAAAGAGGACUUAUGUCAGUCAUUCACUGAACCACUGGCUGGUUCUAUCACCACCAACGAAACACACAACAACAGCAGCUGUCACGGGGAAACCGGAGUCAGCCAUGAUACUGUGGGGCAUCAGUUGAAAGAGUCAGAUCGGUCCGGCUGUUUUCAUGUCAGUCCUGAACGAAUGAAGACAAAGGAGGUUGAAUAUUUACAGGCUGAAAUCACCAGAACGGACGGGACAACUGAGAUAAAAGAAAACGGAGGAAUGACAAGUUUUGAAGAAGAAAUAAGAACCGGUGAGCAACCAGAAAACUCCCAGGACACAGAAGAAGCAACGGAAACAUCAUCUGGUAAUUCCAUCAGGCACCGGACCGAAGGCAAAACUAGUAAAUAUGACGACAAACUAACACAUGUGGAUGACGCGUUGAAAAAUAUACUUGGAUUUCUGUCUGAUCACCCCUACAAUGCUGUGAUUUUACCAACGGAAGAAGCAGCGGGUGAAGAGGAAAGAAAAGAAGAGGCAAGUGUGGGUGCAGAACGCGACAUGUACGGUAGCUCGGAGAUAGUUGUGGAACGGGAGAAGGAAGACAUGCCUGAGGAAUGGAUCAGUGAACGGACAGAGGGACACAAUUUAACCCUGGGGAGUCAACGUGAACAAGAACACAAGCUCAGUUGUGUCUCGGACUUUCAACACACAGCUGAGACAUACGUGGUUGAUAAUAGAGAUGACCCUUCGACCUUGACUGCCUUCCCCUUCAACGGACGUCUGCCAGGAGGAAUUGACACGUUCGAAAGGAUCCAACUCUCCCUGGAUGGUGAUGAAGACGGCCUGAGCGAGAGCCUUCUCCUCAGCAGCCUACCUGAGCAGCUGCUGACAUCACCUCAGCAACAGCUCCAUAAGCACGAGGAGGUACCGCAGGAGGAAGAGGAGGAAACAUCUGGUCGUCACCCUGAGAACAAGGCAAAGGGCUUUUCAGGCAUCUAUAGCAUGUGUAAUGAAGUCCCCGACUGGAUCUCAGCAGCAGCAGAAGACAUCGCUCUCGUACGUCCAGAGCAACCGGCAAACUGUGGGAGGACUCACAACUCCCCCGAGUGCUUCCAGGGCGACUUCCAGUCCAGUGUUCCCCCCAGCAGCGAGGGUCCAGCCUCUGACGUAGACGACAGUCUGACCUUUGAGAAGAAAGAGCUGUUCAACAAGGUCUUGAAAGAGCUGAACCUGUUUUUUAGCAUCAGCACAAGUGAUUUCACAAGAGACAGCGGUGCAUCGUCCUCUGAGCAGUGUGUUCGUGUGUCUGGAGCCUCGGAUCGAGACAACUGCAAAGAAGAUCUCAGCAUCGCAAAACUAGGAUGCUAUGGAGACCCAUCGCCAGACUCCGGCCUGGAAAUGUGUGCUGGGGAUCCAGAUGUUUCUCCUACCUGUGAAGGCGAGCAGGAGGUUCCCCUCGGCAGCCAUCUGUGCACCGAGGAGACUCACAAAGAGCCCCCGCAGAGGAAGAGAUGGUCUCCGUCCUUCCCGGGUCCCCCUCUCCUGGAACAACUGGGCUACAGACAGCCGGAGCAGACGAGGCGGCUGGAGCCUCUGCGAACAUGCAACCGGCCCAUCCGGGUCGGACUCUCAAAGAGAGCCAAGACCAAACACCUGCACCCCCCGCCCUGCCGGGGGGCUUCGCUGCCUUAAACAGGACGGAGCGACGAGUGAUGGCUGUUCAUGUGUUGUGUUCUCUGCUUCAUCGCUCUCCAGGCUCCGGUUCCUGCUUCUUUAUUCAGGUUAUACGCUAAUAAGCCAGAUGCUGCUGCCAAGUAAGGAAUCCUGCUCUGUGUCCACAUUGUCCCUGCUCAAAGUAGUAUUCUAGUUUUCAUAUCUUCCCCAAUUUUUAUGCACUGAUCUAUUUAUAUAUUUAUGUAUUUAUUGGCUUUCUUUCAACCCAGAUUAGGGUUGAAAAAAGCACAUAUAUGUUAUUAGGGCAAAACUCAAUUCCUAGUUCUUUGAAUUAGUUGUGACGUGUAAUCGUUUGCUCUCUGCUGUAACGUCUUCUCUGUGCAACGUGUUCCGUGGAACGUCACUGCGAGUUGAAUGUGAAAAUAACCAGUUCCCCAUUCAAUUAAAUACUGUACUUGCAUACAAACGUGUUUUUAAUAUAUAUAUAUACACACACAUGACUCUUUUGGCAACACAUGAAUUAACAUCAAUGAGCUGGUUCCAAAUGAACGUCUCCAGUCGCUGCUCGGGCUCCGAGGCGGUCCGGCUGAGCUCCCAGGUGGACGAUGGACUCAGCUGUUGUGUCCUUGUUUGACACAUCUGUAGCGCGGGAUGGAGUUCUGCACUCUGCACGUCUACCGCCCUCCUGCAGGGGGGGUCAGUGCCGGUCUGCCUCAGGGAUCCUAAGCAGCUCUUCAAAGGCUUCAAGGCCGUUCCACAGAGACUGCUCUCCUUGCUGUCUCAGAGCAUCUCCACACUGCUAGAGCUCCUGUCUCUCCUCUGUCCUCAUCCUUCUGGACCUCUCUGCUGCAUUUGACACAGUCAACCACCAGAUACUUAUCUCCUCCCUUCAAGAAACUUGGUGUCUCAGGCUCUGCUCUCUCCCUUCUCUCGUCCUACCUCGACGGCCGCACCUACCGGGUAACCUAGCGAGGAUCUGUGUCGGAACCUUGUCAUCUUACUACUGGAGUUCCUCAGGGUUCCGUCCUGGGUCCCCUCCUCUUCUCGCUCUACACCAACUCUCUCGGCGCUGUCAUUCGCUCGCAUGGCUUCUCCAACCACAGCUACGCCGAUGACACCCAACUAAUUCUCCACCAACUCUCCCUGACCCCCAACAUUACAGCAACAAUACGAUCCUUUAGAUACUCGCUCUACAACAUCAGGAGAAUACGUCCUCUCCUCACUCAGAAGGCGGCGCAGAUCUACAGUCUGAGGCCAUUGUUAUAAAGAGAGAGCCAAUGGAGUUAAUGCGUUUUUCCUUUUUUCUCAAAUCCAACGUGGGCGGAUGCGUGGUGGUCCGGUCUGAAUCGCUGCUGCCUGCUCAGAGCCCACGAUGCCUCCAGGAUGCACUCUGUUCGCUAUCGACUUUCUUUACUCAGCCACUUUGUCCAGCAUAUGAUAUGAUCAGUUCAUCCUGGCUGUAAACAUUUCUGGUAGUCGGCCUUGUUGGGACCUUUUGUGUGGAGCAAAUUGCUUUUUGAAAGUUUUGGUUUUUGUUACCUUGUUGGCUACAAAAUAAAAGCCUCCGGCUUUGUUUCAUAUUCACGUCUUUUUGAGAUGCCAAGUAGGCUCCUUGAUGACUGCAGGAGGGACUGAAGCUAAAAGUCUGCCUGUACGUGCUCACUGAUUGGCUACACGCGUUAUACAAAGACUGCUGUGUCCUCACCUUUGCUCCGUCCCACAGUCCCCUGCAGGUGGUCCCGGGGGACAGUGAUGGUGACCAAAGGUUUGACCUCUGCAGGAGAAUUUGUCAAUGCGCUGACCUGAGGUCAGCCGUCUCCGGGCCUGCAGGGUUCGGCUGGUUUGUCACUGAGGGAAUCCUCCAGAAGCAGCCACACGUCCUCAGAAGCAUGUUGAUGUUUUUAGAAUCAACGCACGUCUCGACACAGAGGCUGAUAAACCGCUGUGAAAUACCAGGGAAAAUAGAGACAGUGCUACCGCCACGUUAUAUUAAUACUAUGGAUUGUGAGGUGGGAGACAAAUGUGGUUGAUGACCAGAGAAAGUAUCAACGCACUGAGAACAGAAAAGAGUGGACCGUUCUAAUCUUUGAACAUGUUCAACAGAUCGAUGCGGUUCACACUGUAAUGUGACGUAAUGCAGAGAGUUAAACUGAGAUUUAGAUGUUCCCCUCCUUUUUCCCUCCCUCCUUUUUCCCUCCCUCCUUUUUCCCUCCCUCCUGCCCAGACAGACGACCAGGAGGGAACCGCUGCUGCAAUGCAGCAAAACAAAUUGUGAGAAUCUAUUAAGCUUUUGUGAUUGUCUCCUUGUUUGUCUUUGUGGCUCCGUCGGGGUUCGACAUGAAAGACGCUCCGAGUAGUGGAAGAUAAAAUCAACAUGCAGCGUAUUUUCACUUCAUGUGUCUUUAGUUGGUCAUAAAGGGAUCUGAAGGCCAUCAUUUAAUUGUUCUGGACACCAUUUCAAACCGGUGCGAUGUGACUUCAGCUGCCGUCCACACGAAGGUCGUCCUUUGCUCACGUCGGCCACCUGCAGCGUCCACGAGGGUUGUUGCACAAACAACGCUGAAUGCAAUGCAGACAAAGACGUCUGUGGCUCACUGGACAGGGAAAAUAAAGCGCGAUGUCCUUCACCCUUUCCACAGGGCACAUGGUGAUGGGACUAAUGGACGGCUCCAAAGUGCUUUGGGUUCAGGGUGACAGGUUCAGACUCUCCUUAUUCUUUGUAAAACCGAACACGUUGCAGCUCCAGGACAAUGUUUCACACUGCGUGUCUGCUUGUGAACAUAACUAAACACUAAAAUAAGAGUAAAUUAACCCUAAAAACACAAGUAAACAUUUCAAGCAGUUAAGAAGCCACUAAAAUGACUCAAUAUGUCGCACACAGAGUCGAGGACAUCGAUCGAGGGAGCGUCUCCUGGUAUCCUGGGUCCCGGACUGUGAUCUCUACCAGGUGGUUGCUGGCUUGUUACAAAAUGAGCACAAGCAAUUACUUGGCGCCCACAUUAAGUGGCACCGUUUACCACAUCGUUUAAACCACGAAGGCCGUUGGAGGCAAACAGGCACAACUACUAUUGUACGAGCUGCACAGUGAUUAUUCACUCAGUGGGGCAACACGCUUCCGUCUCCGGGCUGCGUUUCAGCGCGUGAGGGAUGGAUGGAGGGUGAGGCACUGUUCAUCUGAGGUUGUCGUGGUCGGUGGUGAAUAAGAGUAGAUGGCACACGGCCUGUUACCAUGGCAACGAGUCCCACGUUGACGGGCGGAGUGAAAUGAAUUCCAGUUAUUCUCUCGUUUUUAACAUGUAAAUUCCUCUCCCUCGUUUUUCCUCGGCUCCUCUUACUCACAUGUAUAUAUAUAUAAUAAUAAUAUAAUAUUAUAUAAGUGUGUGUGACGCGCUGAUGGCUGAUGAUUCAGGAGGAGAAUUGAUGCUUAUGUUCAGCUAACACGUUGUGUUUAGCCGCUGGAUGCAAUCACUCAGCAGCUCGACUCAACUAUUGUCAUGGAUUAUUUGUUGUGUAAUAAAUAAAACAACAUUUAAAAGUUCCUCUGGAUCUGUGGUUUUGAUUUAGGAUUUAACUGGCUUAUAUUUCCAGACGAAUUACAUAUCGGAGGGAGGCUGAAAUACAGUACGUGUAGAUAAUACACUAAUUGGAUAACUAUACAAAGGUUAGUUUUAAUUCAUCAUCUGUAUUAAUGAUCUAAAUUAGAGAUAAAUAGUUUUAAAAACUCAGAUCGUAGGCCCGGUAAUGAUUGCUGAUCCAAUACAUAAUGUAGAUAUGUUAAUAUGGCACAAGGCCUGUGUAGCCUGUGUAGUCUGAGACACAAUAAAUGACUCAUGUGCCUUGAUGUAAAACGUAAUAUCUAAUAAGAGCAGCAGGAGGGACAGAAGUUUAACUAAACAGGGAUGUAACAUUCUGCACAUGGCUGCAGAAAUCAACACAACAGGAAUCCCU